rnacentral:rRNA from 1 species
UACGUAGGUGACAAGCGUUGUCCGGAUUUACUGGGCGUAAAGAGCGCGCAGGCGGUCGAUCAAGUCGAGUGUGAAAGCCCCCGGCUCAACUGGGGAGGGUCAUUCGAUACUGAUCGACUCGAAGGCAGGAGAGGGUAGUGGAAUUCCCGGUGUAGUGGUGAAAUGCGUAGAUAUCGGGAGGAACACCAGUGGCGAAGGCGAACUACCUGGCCUGUUCUUGACGCUGAGGCGCGAAAAGCUAGGGGAGCAAACGGGG